rnacentral:rRNA from 1 species
UACGUAGGGGCGAGCGUUAUCCGGAAUUAUUGGGCGUAAAGGGUUCGCAGGCGGCCUUGUAAGUCAGAUGUGAAAGACAGCGGCUUAACCGUUGUAAGCAUUUGAAACUGCAGGGCUUGAGUACAGGAGAGGAAAGCGGAAUUCCUAGUGUAGCGGUGAAAUGCGUAGAUAUUAGGAGGAACACCAGUUGCGAAGGCGGCUCUCUGGACUGUAACUGACACUGAGGCACGAAAGCGUGGGGAGCAAACAGGAUUAGAUACCCUGGUAGU